rnacentral:sRNA from 1 species
UAUCUCUCCGUACGGGGAAGGAUGAGAAGCUUCGACUAAGGUUCGAUUCGAGCGUCAGCGAGAAAGCGUUGCCGCAGGCAACGACCCGAAGGGCGAAGCGCGCAGCGCUGAGUAAUCCUUCCCCCACCACCA